UUAUGGAGGUAGGUGGGCAAGGAAGUGAGCUGUGGCUGUGGCUGCCUCCACAUUAAGCAACAUCCUUCUUUUGUUACAUGAAGCCCAAAGGGAAUGCUGGGAAAGCAGGGGGUGGGGGGACAACGGGACACAAAAGCCCAAAGUUGAAGGAAUCUAGUUUGUAGAAGAGAAGACUGAGGAUAGAAGCUGUUCUAAUCUAGGAUGUUCUAAAGUAACAAACGCUGCUCUGAAUAAAUCUAUGAAGCAGGAAACAGGUAAUUUCCGUGGUCCAGUAAUCACGGUUCCCAAAAUCAGUGCCAGGAAACUGCACCAGCACAAAGGAAAGGAAAGAAGGCAACGCAUAGAACAUAAAAGACCUUCCUCAGUUUUUCUGCCUACUCCCAAACCAAUUAUUCAUCAUCCUUCCCAAUAGGAAGAAAUAAGGUGGCGCAGUGGUUUGGCCCCUGCUUUUGGCCGAGAGCGCGACCCUGGAGACCAGGAAUCG